AUCGUUCGGUCGGUUCUUUCGGGCUUCUUUCGAAGUAGAGACUCCCAAAAAAAGGGUUAAAAGUUAUUCGCGCGCGCGUUGGCACUUUUUUUAUGUGUGCCCUGCAGUCUCAGCUGUGCAAUGGGCUCUGAGUAGGGGCUUCCCUGGAUUGUGAAUUUCGUGCGGAUUUUCUUGGGGCUGGAGUUGGAGCAAGGGUGAAGUGCGUUCGGCCCGCCGUUGCAAUCGCUGCCGCCGUUCUGUGGUGUGAGUGAUUUUACAGCGAAGAAAUCCCGUCUCGGUGCGAAGUCGGUGAGUGGAGUCGCAGCCAACGAACCGGUUGUCAUAUGUUUGGUGUGUUGUUCCCGGUUGUUUUACGGCGACCGGUACGUGGUAGUGUGUGUCGUCAUAUCGAUCACGACAAUGGUUUAUGAAUGGGUUUGAAGGGAGUGAGACGCGUGGCGGUGAGCUGCAAUCCCAACGGCGACUACGGUCCAAAUAGUUUCUGCAAAUAGCCUCAGGGAGCUCUGCUGAAUUGAACGUUGCGUGGUGAGGUCUUGUGGUUCAGAAGCAAGGGUGGAAUAUCGAUUCACUCGACGAUUGAAGAUCUGUUAGAUCCAUUAAAAGUGUAUGCUGUUUGCCCAGUGCCAUAGCGCGGAGAGGCACGACUGUGGUAUAGCGAAGUCGUGUCACGGUGUGGUGAGACGAAGGACAGACAGACAAGCAAGAACAGAAGAGGAAUUUGUUGUUGGAGUUGCUGCGCAGCAUAGGAGUGAUGAGUAGUGGUGAGAGUCACGAAGCGAACAUCUAUUCCGGUGCAUGUUUGCUAUCAAUGGGGACACCUGGAGGUUUGUGCCGUAGUGUUUCCUCUUUGCAAAGAAUAUAGAGAAAGCAGUUUUGUAAAAUGGAUAUGUUCAGCUGCGCAAAUAUUGUAACCACGGCAGGCGGAAACUAAUCAGAAGUGUCUGACUUUGCUUCACUAUUAUAGAUGGGGAUCUAAAAAUAAUCACAUGGGACUUAGCGCUGGUUGUAUUCUAUAGACCCGAAGCGGAGAAAGUUGUUUCAAAACAAAAAGUGUCAAAACGCGUUGAUCCAUUUAUCGUCUUGAUAAAAUGCAAAUGAGUUCGAAUUAUGUAAAGGAAUGGUGAUCUCGGGUAGAAAUUCCACCAUUUGUGAACAUAUGUUCGAGUGAUCUUCUGAGUAGUGGGGAUCCAGUCGACCACUCUAUCGUUCUCUGCACCCACUUCAUUGUUUUUGUUUUGUUUCGUUUUCAAAUCGUGGCUUCCCCAUGAUGUGGAGCAUGCCGCCGACCAGUGUGUAUAGUGGGGAUGAAUAGUUACGAAAUCGCAUCAAGCCGCCUUGGCGAACGAAAAGCAAAGCAAAACACGUUGACGAAAAACGCAAGCAAACCACGCAAAAGUGCUACACUCUCAAGGUUGCUUGGAGGAAAGGAAAAUAUGUAGAAGCUGAAGUAAAAUUCCGCGAAAAAGGUUCAUAGAAAGCAUAAAUAAGCAGCGUGAACAGAUGCUGAACAGCUCAAAAACCGUAUAAACGUUUCAUGUGAUAUUAAGGCAAACGUUCAGAAGUGCAAACGUGAGUGAGUGACGUUUGUGGUUGCGGUGAGCCGUUACAUCUGAGUAGGCGCGCAGAUCCAGCAUCGCUUUUCGCAGCAAACACGACACGAAUAAGGAAACGUGCUGGGCUACUGCGAUUGCUUUUGGAUCCCUUCGCAGUGUGUGCUCCGUGGAAUGGAAAAUCGAGAUCUUGUGUGCACGAUUGCGAAAAUAUACAAACAAAAAGAAGAUCAUGAUGCCGUGACGGAGAAGACGUACGUAGAUUGCAUUACGACGUCGGAGUUGGAUUAAUUUUCUGCUGUUUGCGGUUAUCCCUCGCUAUAUAGCUGAUUUACGUUGUGCGUUUACUUUACACAUAUUUGCGGUAAGCGCGCGUACAGACGUACUUGCGCCCAGACUCACAAGGGGAAAAGUGACGGCACCCGCUCCCUUCAUCAUCGGGCGUAGAUAACUGUGCUAUUUGUAUUAGAUAAUUCAUCUGCCGGUCGCCGGGGCACCGCCAUCAUCAUCAGUCUUGAAGCCGUCACAAUAGACGCCAUAGAUGAAAGUGAAACUGCGCGAAGAUCUGGGAAAAAUUAAAGCCGAGCCCUCUGUUCUGCGUGGCGGAGCUGUGCUGUGGUGCGGCGAAAGGUGAAAAAGUGUUCCAAUCAGUGUCUGCGGGAAGGGUGACGGAAGUGAAUUAUUAUGUUUGAAGAAGUCAGCUAAAAAGGAAGCGCAAGAUAGCGUUCGUCAUUGUCAGAGGAAGAAAAAAAAAGCGUGGGAGUGAAGUGCGGUGGUGUGGAAAAGCAAUUAUCGAGAUAAUAUGCAUUUUGCACAUUGCCCAAGUAGUGCUGUGGCAGCUUUUGGUGUGAAAAAUUGGAGCAGUCUCGUCGAGUGACUCAAUCGAGAACGACAACGACGACGACAACGAGGUCUGACAACUGCCGCCUCCAACGGCGACCAACAUUGAAUCAGAUUUCACACCACGGUGCCAUUGAGUGAGCUACGAUGCUUCAGCAGCCUGGGCCUACGCUCAGUGCUGACCAGCAAUCCCAGCAGCAGCCCUCCCAAUCACCCCCAACGAUUACGACGACAGCGACGACGACGACGGCGGCGGCGGCAACCGCGACAACGGCCUCGGUCCAGCAGCAAGCUCAACUGCCGGUGAAUCUUCUCUCCAGCCAGCAACCGUCAUCGCUGACCUCGUCGUCCAGUGCGUCGUCAACGCCACCGAUUCAGGAUGUCAACCGGUAUCUGGAGUCGCUGCAGGAAACGCUGAAGGAGGGCUGGACGGCGCACACUGCCAAGGAUGGCAGGCUGUACUAUUGCAACCACGUAACCCGCACUGCGGGAUGGUUGCCCCCGAUCGAAAAUUGGAUCCAAACAAACGACCUGCCCUAUGGCUGGGAAAAAGCGGUCGACCUCAGAGGGCAUCCCUACUAUAUUAACCAUCGGAACAAGACCACCACCUACGAGGAACCGGAGCGCUACCACUACAAUGACUCGCCACCGGAACCGCGUCUGGUGGUGCUCCAUCGGAGUCCCACGCUGGGCUUCGGCUUCGUUGCCGGGAGCGAGAAACCUGUGAUUGUGCGCUUCGUAACCGAGGGCGGACCGAGUUUAAAUAAGCUGGAACCGGGUGACCAAAUAUUAGCUGUAAACGGCGAGGACGUCAAGGACGCACCCCGCGACCAUGUGAUACAAUUAGUUAGAAAUUGUGAAAAUUCCGUCACACUACUGGUGUGUCAACCGCAGCUGUACAAUGCGGUCGGCCGGAAGUCAACCCUGCUGUCCGCUGGCAAGAAGGCCAAGCUGAAAUCACGCCCCACCCGGGUGAGGUUCGCCGAGAGCGUGUGCGUUAAUGGGGCGCCAUUGUUUCCGCCAUCUGCAUUUUCCCUGGGGGACCUUUGCGUUCCACCGAUGGCGAACGUGCUUAAAGUUUUCCUGGAGAACGGUCAAACCAAAUCCUUCAAGUACGAUUCAACCACAACCGUGCAGGAUGUCGUCACAUCGCUACGUGAUAAACUUUGCCUAACCGCUGGCGAGCACUUCAGCCUGGUACUGGAGCACGUCAAAAGCUUAAAGCGAAACAAGCUGACCCUGCUGGACCCACAGGAAACAGUUGCCAGGAUAGCGGCCCGGCCGGGUGCCCACAAGCUGCGAUGUCUGUUCCGGGUCACCUUCGUGCCGGUGUCGGCCGCUGCCCUGGCACAGAAGGAUCUGAACGCGCUGGACUAUCUGUUUCUGCAGUGCUGCAACGAUGUGACGCAGGAACGGUUUGCGCCGGAACUGCAACCGGAGGUGGCCCUGCGGUUGGCGGCGCUCCACAUGCAUCAGCACGCGCUCGCCAAUAAUAUUUCGCCCGCUAAGCUGACGGUGAAAACUGUAGAACGAGAGUUUGGACUGGAUCGUUUUGUGCCUGCUUCCUUGAUCGACGGAAUGAAACGCAAGGAGCUCCGACGCCUGCUGGGGCAUUUCCUCAAACUUAACUCCCAGAUGACGGGCUCGUCGACAAAAAUGUUGACGCAAUUACAGGCGAAAAUUCAUUAUCUGGAUAUAAUCUCCGGUCUGCCGAGCUACGGUGCGAAAUGUUUCAGCACGAAUCAGCGAGACGGCGUUGAACGGGUCCUGUUGGUUAGUCCUCGCUUCGGGCUCAGUCAGAUAGCCGGCGUGCGAAACACGGUGCCGCAACCAAUUUGCAACCUAGAAGAUCUAACCCGCGUCGUCGUGACCAGAGACGACGACAUCUCCAACACAGUAACAGUGUUCAUAAGCCCCGAUCGGGUAAUCAACUUCUCGAUGGAAGAUCGAGACGCAUGUGAAUUCGCCAUCGUCCUAGCCGGAUAUUACAGACUAAUGGCCGGUAAGGAUCUUCCUCUAGAGCUGGAGCGUGAAACCACGGUGGAAGAGCUCGCUCCGCCCUACGUUUCGCAGCACACAGUACUCCAUGCCAACUGGAGUUAUCUUCCCUCGGAGAAGCAAACCCACAGUAUGGCCUUCCUGAUGCCGCCGCCAUAUCAUUCCUCCAAGGCGGUGUAUAUUCCUUCGAAAUCGGAAUCCGAUUGCGAUCGGAACAUGAACAACACCCUCACGUCGAACAAGAAUCUCAAGCUGACGGGGCAUGACGAGUAUGGUUUCGAACUGCACAACCCGCGAGUGUCCAGGGACGGGUUAGAACGAGCCGCUGGUGGAGCUUUAAAGCAAAACAUGUCCGAGGCUCGCAACGAGGAAGUCCUACGGAGGGUCGCCGAGAUGCAGAAAAUGGUGGAGAAUUCGGAACGAUAUCUUAACGAGCACGGAGAGUACUGUCACGAGUUUGAUGUACGACCAGGCAAGUUGAACCUCUGGAGGGAGACUUCCGUUGAUGUGGAAAGUGACUGCGAAAGCUUGAACAGUAGUAAACAGUCAUCGAACGAAGAUGCCCCGGGAGUCCUGCGACAUAGUGACUCGCUUACUUUACUCUCUGAAACAAUAAACCAAGGGCUAGAUGGUAUUGCAAAGGGGCUUAACUCGAUCUACACUGCGCCUUUUAGUGAAGUAAACGGACGACUGGACAAUACUUCUACGCAAAACACACCUAAGAGUCAACGUAAGAUGCAAGGCCUCAGUCAAAUUCUAAGUGAUCUUCAAGCACUUGGAAACGAUUUAUCGCAAAGUGAAAGUGAUUCGGAGUCAUUGUACACUCCAAACAGUUCCCCAAUUCAUAAUAAAAAUGCAAACCAGAUGCCUCAAACUAGCCUAAGAAACAAAACUCUUCGAACAAGCUUCGGUCUUCACAGCCCGGACAGUUCGAUUCUUGGUUGUGAUACAAAAGAUAUGAAUCUGAAGGAAUACCUCCGUCAGCUCAAAGAAGCCAGUAGUGGAGACAGUGACGGAAAUACAGAUCUAGCAGCUAAGAAGAUUGCAGAGUUAUACGGAUACGAAAUCGGCGAUGAUACGAUCAUUGAAACCGAUCCAGACAUAAUUGAUUUGCGUUCGAUUCCGCCUCCUCAAACUCCUGACGAGUUGGAUAACCUGAAUGUGUUGAACGUGCCUCCUACAGGAUUUGAUGAUGGCUCAAACUCUGCCAUAGCAUCCUCCAUUGAGCCGAACCUCCCCGCCGUUGACGCUGUCGUCGGUGAUCUCGAAGAGUUCCUCAAAAAGGUAACGAUAGAACCCCCAACAAAAAAGAUCACCCCAGCUGUAGAAUUAACCCCGGAGGAGAUCCUCUCAUACAUCAUUCCUCCACCACCGGGCCUAGCCGAUUCCGAACCAGGCACGAUUCAAACCAAACCACCAGCACUGAAAACCAACCUUCCCAGCAUCCAGCAGCUAUCGAACAACAACACUACCAACACCAAGAACCUCAACCACGGCGAGCUGCCAGUUCCAAGGCCUAGAGUAAACACCGAAACCAACUCCAUCAAUCUGCUGGCUAAGUAUGACAAAUCCAGAUUCGAAGUCUAUUAUCCUCCCGAAAUGAGAGAGCAAAAGACCACCGAAUACGACCUGUACAGUAACAGCGAGGCGGCUAACGCCAACAAAUCAACGACGCAUUCUGAGAAAACCAACGGUCAUGUCAUCGAAUACCCAACCGUAGAUAGGAAAGGCCCUUUCUCAUGCUGUACAAAAACGAAGAAAGAAAAGACUGAAGAAACCCCGGACCAACAAACAUCCAAUGGGGAACCCAAUCGUGAAUCCCUUGCGCUUCCCCCCAAACGAUGUCCACAUACUCCCGAAAAAAGUCCUCCGCCUGAUCGACCUCCAAAAAGCGCCGAACUUCAACUCAAACUUAACUCUCCGGUUCGCUCUCCUAACUAUGCGAAAACAAACGGCAAUAAUGGAAACUACUACGAAAUGGAUCCCCCUUCGCUACCACCGCGAUUCGAAAAACAAUCCACCUCUCCUCCUCCGGUAGCCCUUUCAACCCUGCCCCCAAAGAAACCUCCUCUACCGCCCGUCCCUCAAAAACCCUGCAUCCGUAGUCCUGUUCCUAUUCUCAAAAAUCCCAUCACAUACACUCUAUCGACCUCAGCCAACAACUCCCCCAUCCGAACGGCUGGCAUCGGUUCGCCCCACUUACACCGCAAUCCAAACUGUUAUAGGGAAAUUGAGCGAGCCUUCAACCGUGAUGAUCUCUCGGACAAGUUGUCUCCGGUAGCGCAUUCACUGUCACCAACACCAGUCAACCGCCAGAACGGGCACUACCGCUCCCACAGCGACUGCCCGCCAGUUUGUCUGCAGAAUCCUUGCGCAGAGAUGAAGCCCCAACUAUCGCUGCUGUGUUCGCCCCAAAUGUCCCGCAAGACCAACUUCAGCCACCCGGGCAGUCCCAUCCUUUCGAACAAAAAUGGCCACGUCCUGAACGUGGACACGCUGAUGUCGAAAACGGACGUAGCUAUGGCCGGUCUGCUCGUCAAAUUGGACCAGGUGGCGGCGAUGUGUUCCGCCGCGCAAACCGCCGGCGGCGGAACCAGCAUCGACGAAGAAAAGUUCCAACAUGCCAAAGACGAGCUUACCGACCAGUCGCUGCAUCUGGUCACGUCUUCCAAACACCUGGUGGUGUCGAUGUCCGACGUCAAUCUAACCAACCUGCCGGAACAUCUGACGGCGUGUCUGUCGUCGCUGCGCAGAAUCACCGAACUGGCGCAGGACCUGACGCGCUAUACUUCGGCACCGCUGCAAACCCGCAACAUCGUGCUCAAGAUCCACGACGUGGCGUCCAGCUUUCGGGAGCUGGCGUGCGUGCGAGUUGGACCGCAGGGAGCGGGACAGCUGGCACUGCAUGCCGAGUGCUUGGCGAACGUGCUGGCCACGCUGCUGCGGAGUUUGCGGGUUUUCUCCCCAUAGGGGUACGCCGACAGUAGCGGUGGGGAGGACAAUUGCUGCUUUGUUUGUAAAUAGGUUUAAGGGGAUCCAACAUGCACUUUUCGACACAAUCGAGACAUCGACAUAGAACAAAGAAGGUUUGAAUAUUUAACCAAAAAUAUUUUUUAAAUAAUUCGCGAUGAUUGCAAAUACUGAUCAGGAGAGAACAUCGCCGUAAAUUCAAUCUCCGUGAGUGAAUCAAAUCACAGAGCUAAAAUCGAAUAAAACAAUAAUUCACACGUAAUUAUCAUUAGAGCAACCCACAUACUAGUGGUAAUUAUUCUCUAAAUGCAAAUUAAUUAACCCCGCGGCACAACAGGCGUCGUUAUUAUUGUCAUCAGUAGCGAAAUAUCACGCAGUUUGAUGGACUCAUGCUGUAGCUCUAUAUGGAUAAAAAGCGCGAAACGGUGUACUACCGACACUGAAUACCGAUGCAAACCAAUUGUACAGACCCAAAUCUGACUAAUAGCUCAUUCACUUUUAUGAGUAAUAGGCGAAAUCAAUCAAUGUCGAAAAAACACAUAAACACAUUGUUACGGGAACUCAGAACCUAAUAUAUGUACUAAAGAGCGCUUGAUUAUAGUACGGCGGUAAUCAGAAUGGAAAAGCGGCAGAGAAAAUUCAUUGGGAACACUAAAACGAUAAAUGAAAAAGUAGCCGCGUCGGUAUGCGAGUUGAUGAGAAGGUAGUUAUAUUGUAGCUAAUAAAUCAAUUCCCGUGUGUAAACCUCUCGUGUGGUGUUGAAGAACCCACGCAAACAUGACUGGAAACGCAUUGUGGUGUGACGUGACUGGUGAUGUGAUGUUAUAAUUCCGAUAACCAAGCCAUAAAUUAAAUUGCAAUAUUUGUAUGUGUAAUAAAGCUUGAUGGUUUUGUGUGGUUGCGAAAAAAAACGGAUCGAUCCGAUGGCACCCAUAUCUGUUCGAUGUGUGACAAUAUGCAGCAACUGAUGAUAGUUUUGUAAGAUAACCGCAAAAUAAUCCGCAUUCACACUAGACUAGGUUAAGCAAACUAAAUUUGACUCGUGCGCGUAAAAAAAACUGUAGCUUAAAACGUAACGAGAGAGUUUCACUGGUAGAACAUAGAGUAAGUCAAAUCUGAUUGAAAUUAGGACAUAAGUUGUCUAAAAUGGUAGCGAAACAAAAUGAACAAAGCUCUUCGGGCCAUAUCAUUGAAAUGAACCAAAAUCAUAUCCACCAAAAAUAUAUCAAAUAAUGUCGAAUGUCUUUUGUUGCACCCCAUUCCCCAAUUCAAUUUCAUCCGAGUUAUUAAAGUGUCAUAUAUCUAUAUGUUAUUGAACAGUAACAUAAUCACAGAGAGACGGUAAAACUUCAAGUAAAUCUCAAAUCGUUUCUAAAACGUUUGAAGAAUUCUCCGCGUGUCAUCAAUUUAAAAGGUUUUAACCUAAGUUAAGUUGUUAUUUUAAUUUUUAAAUUUUAUCACUGUUAUUUAUGCUCGAACUACGUAUAUAUAAACAUGAGUUUCAUAAUGCAGUCGAUUAUCUAUUCACACCCCUCAGAAAAUAAAAAAAAAAUCAUGACAACUACAGCUAAACUAGUCACCUUAAAUCUUUGUUUCAAUACCAUUCCACUACUUCCUGACGAGCAUCAAGAAACUUGAGGAAAAAUAUCUUUCAAUGGCAUCACUAUUAGCAGGUAAUCAAUAAUCAACCCAUUCAGUAUCAAUCAACAUCACAUAACAGGAGAGAAAGAGAUCAAUAAAGGAAACAAAGGAACUGCAUUUGUGAAGAAUUUGGACAACAUUUCAGUUUAAUGAGAAUAUCAAAAAAUUAGGGACGAUUUGUAUGAACAAACUCGAAACAAAAGAGUUAGGAAACAAAUUGAAAAAUCUCCAAUAUUAUCACACGGAAGAGUCCCUACUUAUAGCUGAGAAAGGACCCUGAAUAAAUCAAGUAAAAUUAAUCUACUCAAAAACUAAAUGAUACUAAAAGAAACUGCCGGUUUUGGAAGUUUUGUUUCUAUUGUUGACAGAGGCGUUUUCUAUAUGAAAUAUUAUGUCCAAAUUUGGCUAUGAUAAAACAACAAUAAUUGUCAAAUCACCUCGUCAAUAGUAGGAAUAUACCUACCGGAGUCGUUUGUUUCCUUGACUAGCAAAAAAACAUUACCGAUAUUAUGGGCGGUUUAGAUAAGUAACUAAUAAAAUUAGUUAACAUUAUUAAAAAAUAA